GAAUGUUCUAAAACUGUUCUAGCACCAUUUGACAUAGUUUCCCAAAGCAAUUUUACCUGUUCCUCUUGUAAAAGUCUCUUGGGUUCUGGAUUCAGAUUCUGGACAUUUCAGAUUCUGGACCUUUCUCUCACUAAUCCAAGUAUCUACUUGACAGAGUUGUUGCAAGGAUUAAGGAAGAGAAUAUACAUGAAAGUCUGUAGUGUAGAGUUGUGUGACACUGAAAGAAUUGUUAGCGGACCCAGAUGCAAAGAUAAUACGACACUGUUUGACUGAGACUAUAGGUUUUUGUUUUGGGUGUUUUUGUUUUGUUUUGGGUGUUUUCUUUUUUUUAACUGGGUAGAAUUAGUGACCAGCUCCUGGGAUAAUGAGGUGAGUUCACUCAGCUUGAAUUUGGAGGGUAAACACAUGUCCUUUGUGUCUGGGAGGUAUGCUUGAGAUUUCCUUUGUCUCUCCCUGCUUUGGGGAAAAGCAAAUUUGGCAUGGCCUUUGAAUGUCUGACUCCCCCACACUUUUUUUUUUUCUCUAGUGUGGAAGCUUUGUAAAUUUGCCUUGUUAAAAACAAGCCCCAUCUUCAUACCUGCUGAAACCUAGUUCUCGUCCAGAGGCUAUGCGAUGAACAAAGGGGGCUAGUAAUGCCGACCGCACGGGGUGCAGACAGCCCGGCCCACGCAGGUACACCGCUCCAGCCGGGGAGGGCGGCUGUGUGUAAAGAACGCCUUUUAUUGUGACUCUUUCACCUCCCCCAGCCCAGCCCUGAGCCAUGAGAAGAGGAGCGUUGUCAAAGAGACAGGCCAAUUUUACCCAUCUUACACAAUAGCGCAUUACAGACUUUCCAAGAAGACGCCGUUCAGGGUGAAUCACCAAAUUCAGGAUGAAAAGGUUUUGAUUUGCAAAAGCGCUCAAGCAUUUCUCCUUAGAGCCGGAGAUGGCAAGGCAGGAACCGACGUGCGUGCAGCUGCCUCACCUUUGGGCCAGGUGCACUGGCACGCGCUCCGAGGUGGUGCGGGGCUCGUGCAGCCGGCAUUCACAGGCGCCUUUGUCACACCCUGGGUGCCAGGGGCCGUGAGUGCCUUACUUAAAGGCAGAAAAGAGUGAGAGGGUGCUGGUGAUGGCGGGGUAUUGAAAUGUGUGGAACGGAGUCGAAACACGAAUUGCAGGUUCACGUCGACUGGAAUUACUGUUAAAAUUUUCCGGACCUCAAUUGGGUUUCGUGAACACAGGGAAGAGGUGAUGAGCAAGGAUGCUAGACUGAGGAUUGUAUCAUUUGGGAUGAUUUCAGCUACAAAUAGCAGAGAAAUCUCUCUGAGAUGACACAAGCCCUUCUACUCAAAGUUUGGGCUUAGAACUAGCAACAUCACCCCCACCCGGGAGCUCGGAAUUGUGGGAUCCUCAGCUCCAGCCCACCCCUUCUGGAUCCGAAUCUGCAUUUUGACAAGAGACAUGGGUUACUUGUCUGCACACAUUGUAGUUUGGGAAGCACAGCAUUAAACAAGGACCUUUUUUUUUUUUUUUUAAAUGCAUUUCAGAUAGCAAGCCGGCUAGGGGUCAGCAGUGCGGGGGGUCCUUAACUCAGCAAGUCAACGAUGUCAAGGAGGACCUGAGUGUUUUCCAUUUUUCUGCUCUGCUGUGCUGUGUGUGCUUCCUUUUCCACUCAGAUUUAUCUUUCUGUGGUCACAAGAUGGCUGUAGAAGCUGCAGGCUUUACCUCCCAGCACAGCGGAGGGAGGGGGUAGGAAAGGGAAGCUUCCCCCUCCUAUACGCCUUUUUGACAGCAGGGAAACAUUUGCCAGAAGCCACUCAAUAGAUUUCUCCUCGUGUUACACGUCUCAUAUCUGAUUGUCUAGAACUGCAGCGUGUUGCCCAUUCCUAAAUCGGGUGCUGGCAGAGGGACUGGAAUAAGGACGGUUGGCUAAGGCCAAUGCACAUUUACCCUCUGGGACGAGGUAGGAGCCUGGCCUCCUUGGAAGCACAUGGUGUAAGCAUAAACACAGUGUGUUUCUGUAACUGGGAAGAAACAAAGGUGGGUAGGGGAGAGAGCUGGUGGGAAAAGCAACGGUGUGCAUGCUGCAAGAGCUUUCUGGAGGCUGGUCACUUUUGUCUUGGGACAUGAAGAAUUUCCUCUUGAAUGUUUGAGAGUUGAAAAAGAACUCACUCUGAGAGCCCCUCCUAUGACUGAUCCAAGAGAGACUGUCCCAGGGACAUAUAUAGCCUUGGAUAGUUUGUGCCACAGGAAAUUGUUAAUGAUAGAACAAUGCAAUUUUACAAUUUUAGGCCUAGACAGCUAGGAAGGAUUCUUUUCAAAAAAAUUUUUUAUGAAAAAAAAUUUUUUAAUGUUUACUUAUUUUUGAGAGGGAGAGAGACAGAGAGUGAAUGGGAGAGGGGCAGAGAGAGAGGGAGACACAGAAUCUGAAGCAGGCUCUAGGCUCUGCAGUGCUUCCCAGGCUAAUGCGAGCACUUUCUCCUUUCCGGCUCCCUCCCUGCUCCCUUUCUUUCUCCUGCACAGAGCCCGACCUCGGGGCCUGAACCUGUGAACCACAAAAUCAUGACCUGAGCCAAAGUUGUACGCUCAACCGACUGAGCCACCCAGGUGCCCCAAAAGGAUUCUGUUUUUUUUUUUUAUGUUUAUUUAUUUUUUUAGAGGGAGGGAGACAGAGUGUGAGUGGGGGAGGGGCAGAGAGAGGAGACACAGAAUUCAUCCGAAGCAGGCUCCAGGCUCUGAGCUGUCGGUACAGAGCCCGACACGGGGCUCAAACCCACAAAUCGUGAGAUCAUGACCUGAGCCAAAGUCAGACACUCAAUUGACUGAGCCAUCCAGGUGCCCCUUUACUGACUUACUUUGAAAGACUGGGAUAGAUCCAGUGGAUCCCUGAGCCUGUAUUUUCCCUCUUACACUCUUAUUUCUGAGGGGCCGAAAGAGAAGAGGCAAAUACAGCAUUAGACUGCUACAAUAAUAAACGUAUCAUGUUUAGGUCAGAGGAGACUUUCUGCACACUAUUCUUUGCCCUGUUUCUGACCACUUUGGGAAUAUUGGAUUAGUUCCUAGCACUGUGUUUUAAGGAAGACAUUAAAAAGACCCUGGGUAACGAUGAUGAUGAAAAAAUUACAGACAGACAUUAUACUAAACACUUAAAGUUUUUUUUCACUAAAUCAUUAUGAAAUCCCUUUGAGGCAGACAUGCCAAAGUUGGAAAAACUGAAGCUCAGGGAAAUGCAUGAGCCUAUGGACAGCUACUUAACAGUGGUGCUGGGAUCUGAACUCAGGACCAUCUGACUCCAAAGUCUAUGCUUUUCACACCACGAUAAUCAUUAAUUUAUCUAAACAUUUAUUAUAUGCUAGGCAUUGUUCUAGGUGAUUUAUCUUAACAAUCCUCACUAAACACCUAGGAAGCGGGGAAUAUUUGUUACUCCGUCUCACAGGUAAGGAAAUUGAAGCUUAGACUCUCUGAGUAACCUACCUGUAUCCACACACCUGUCCCUGGGUGCGGGUAUGAACCUAUGCCCGUCUGACUCCGGAGCUCCAGGGCUCACUGCUACCCUAUUGCUUGCAGAUGUCAGAGCAAAAUUUCGUAUCCUCUCUUGCUCAAGAGAGCAGGAUUAGGAUUUGGAAGAACUUUCUAAAAAUCCGUCUGUGCCAACAAGACUAUCUCAGCUACAGGAGAGCUGGCUGGAAGUAAUGAGCGUCACGGUCAGGGACGGUUGGCUGAACUCACCAUAUUUUCUCCCUAGAACUGACUUCCCAGCAAUCCUACUGAAGUCACAGAAUACUGCAUGUGCAAAGCCAAAUUAAAACACAGAAGUCAUCUUCAUUUAUUUAGUCCUUGUUGGGGUCGUGUCUGUUUGAAAAUUUAAGAAGCAGAUGAUGUCUGAGAAUAUUCCUGAAGCUCAGAUUCCAAGGACCAGCGGAAUUGACCAGGAGGAACCUCAGAAAGGAAACAGGAGGGGAGAGCUGGAAAAAGCUGGACGGCAGCUGUGUUGACUGGAGGAACCUCGAGGAGCUGAGAGAAGGAAAGGAUCACCACAGGCAAAUGCUGGCCAACGCCACGUCUGACUCCCAGCCUUUCCCAAGUGGCCCGUUGGCUCCCGGUGCUCCACUCACAGCCUACAGAGGCCCGCAAGUGUCCAGGGGGUCCCCUGGGCCACCAGCCCCCCAGGGAAGAGGAGGGUCACGUGCUGAGGGCUCAGGGAUCGAGGCUCCCCUGCAGGUGUGGCCCGGCCCAUGGCAGCCGGGUCCUGGUCACCCACAGCCUCGGCGCAUCUGCAAGUGUUUUCUGUCUUCACAGUCGUUUUCACUGAUCUCUUCUUGGUUUAGUUGCUGUCAUUUAAUUGCUGCUACGGUCGUUCUUAUUCAAGUAGAUAUAACAUAAUUUUGGGAUAGUGUUUUUCAAAUAAAGAUUCAUUUGAUAUAAUUCUUGUGAAUACAUUAUUUUCACAUCAUUGGACACUGCAGAAUUAGAUAAUGUAAGUAUUGUAUUUUGAUUUAAAUAAAAAGUCCACUAUUACUUUAUCCAUCAUUAAAAUUUGGCACGCAUACUGAGAUUUAAAACAAUAAAGACCAUUUUUGUAUGGCAUCAGCAUUUUUGUGUGUCAUUUUCAGAUACAUGAACAUGUAUUAGAACUCUGUACAAGAAUUUAAUAUUUUCCUGAAUGACUUGAUUUUUUUUAAUUGGGAAAAAAACCUAAAUAAUAAGAUCACUCCAUUAG